UACGUAGGGUGCGAGCGUUGUCCGGAAUUAUUGGGCGUAAAGAACUCGUAGGCGGUUUGUCGCGUCGGCCGUGAAAACUUGGGGCUUAACCCCAAGCUUGCGGUCGAUACGGGCAGACUUGAGUUCGGCAGGGGAGACUGGAAUUCCUGGUGUAGCGGUGAAAUGCGCAGAUAUCAGGAGGAACACCGGUGGCGAAGGCGGGUCUCUGGGCCGAUACUGACGCUGAGGAACGAAAGCGUGGGGGAGCGAACAGG
rnacentral:rRNA from 1 species